AUCCUGAACAUUCUGUGGUGCAAUGAGCCAGUGUGUCUGGCUGUUAACAAGAAGGUUGGUGGUUCAAGCCCACCUAGGGACA